AGUGAACGCUGGCGGUGGGCCUAACACAUGCAAGUCGAACGGCAGCACAGUAAGAGCUUGCUCUUACGGGUGGCGAGUGGCGGACGGGUGAGGAAUACAUCGGAAUCUACUUUUUCGUGGGGGAUAACGUAGGGAAACUUACGCUAAUACCGCAUACGACCUACGGGUGAAAGCAGGGGAUCUUCGGACCUUGCGCGAUUGAAUGAGCCGAUGUCGGAUUAGCUAGUUGGCGGGGUAAAGGCCCACCAAGGCGACGAUCCGUAGCUGGUCUGAGGGGAUGAUCAGCCACACUGGAACUGAGACACGGUCCAGACUCCUACGGGAGGCAGCAGUGGGGAAUAUUGGACAAUGGGCGCAAGCCUGAUCCAGCCAUACCGCGUGGGUGAAGAAGGCCUUCGGGUUGUAAAGCCCUUUUGUUGGGAAAGAAAAGCAGCAGGUUAAUACCCCGCUGUUCUGACGGUACCCAAAGAAUAAGCACCGGCUAACUUCGUG
rnacentral:rRNA from 1 species